rnacentral:rRNA from 1 species
AGCAGUAGCCGCGGUAAUACGGAGGGGGCUAGCGUUGUUCGGAAUUACUGGGCGUAAAGCGCACGUAGGCGGCUUGGUAAGUUAGAGGUGAAAGCCUGGAGCUCAACUCCAGAAUUGCCUUUAAGACUGCCGAGCUAGCAGGUGAGAGAGGUAAGUGGAAUUCCGAGUGUAGAGGUGAAAUUCGUAGAUAUUCGGGAGAACACCAGUGGCGAAGGCGGCUUACUGGCUCAUACUGGACGCUGAGGUGCGAAAGCGCGGGGAGCAAACAGGAUUAGAUACCCCCGUAGUCCCUGUCUCUUAUAC